UGAGGAAUAUUGCGCAAUGGGGGCAACCCUGACGCAGCAACGCCGCGUGAGUGAGGAAGGUUUUCGGACCGUAAAGCUCUGUCGAGCGGGAAGAAAUGCAUGGUGGCUAAUAUCCAUCAUGCUUGACGGUACCGCUAAAGGAAGCACCGGCUAACUCCGUGCCAGCAGCCGCGGUAAUACGGGGGGUGCGAGCGUUGUUCGGAAUUAUUGGGCGUAAAGAGCGUGUAGGCGGCCGAAUAAGUCAGAUGCGAAAUCCCUGGGCUUAACCCAGGACGUGCAUUUGAAACUAUUCGGCUGGAGUAGGGGAGAGGAAAGUGGAAUUCCUGGUGUAGAGGUGAAAUUCGUAGAUAUCAGGAGGAACACCGGUGGCGAAGGCGACUUUCUGGCCCCAUACUGACGCUGAGACGCGAGAGCGUGGGUAGCAAACAG
rnacentral:rRNA from 1 species